rnacentral:lncRNA from 1 species
GUUUCCACUACAACAGCUACUGCCAUAUUAAGCACCGGAGCAGCAAUUACGCUGGUUACCAGUAGCCCAGGCAUAGCAGCAUCCAUUCCAGCGAUUACAACAUCAAGCAGUGAAACAACAGGUAGGUAAAUCAGAAAAUCCAUAAGUGACGAAUAAAGUUUUGAAUAAAGGUUU